CAUUUUGUUCCUCUGUCAGAUCAUCAGUGAAGCUUUAUAAAGCCUCCAUUCCCUGGUUGAAGGCACACUGCUUCCAGUGAGUCCUGCUGCUGCUUUGACUCUUCAUCACAACAAGAUGAAAUUCGUCCUUUUUACUUUGUUCCUUUGUGGAUCCAUCCUGGAAAUCAAUGCAGGACGUGAUUUUC